rnacentral:rRNA from 1 species
AUUGAACGCUGGCGGCAUGCCUUACACAUGCAAGUCGAACGGCAGCGCGGACUUCGGUCUGGCGGCGAGUGGCGAACGGGUGAGUAAUGUAUCGGAACGUACCAUUCAGUGGGGGAUAACGCAGCGAAAGUUGCGCUAAUACCGCAUAUUCUGUGCGCAGGAAAGCAGGGGAUCGCAAGACCUUGCGCUGAUUGAGCGGCCGAUAUCAGAUUAGCUAGUUGGAGAGGUAAAGGCUCACCAAGGCGACGAUCUGUAGCGGGUCUGAGAGGAUGAUCCGCCACACUGGAACUGAGACACGGUCCAGACUCCUGCGGGAGGCAGCAGUGGGGAAUUUUGGACAAUGGGCGCAAGCCUGAUCCAGCCAUGCCGCGUGAGUGAAGAAGGCCUUCGGGUUGUAAAGCUCUUUCGGCCGGGAAGAAAUCGUAUGGGUUAAUACCCUGUGCGGAUGACGGUACCGGCAUAAGAAGCACCGGCUAACUACGUGCCAGCAGCCGCAGUAACAC